GAUGAACGCUGGCGGCGUGCCUAAUACAUGCAAGUCGAGCGAACAGACGAUGAUCUUGCUCCUCUGACGUUAGCGGCGGACGGGUGAGUAACACGUGGAUAACCUACCUAUAAGACUGGGAUAACUUCGGGAAACCGGAGCUAAUACCGGAUGAUAUAUUGAACCGCAUGGUUCAAUAGUGAAAGACGGUUUUGCUGUCACUUAUAGAUGGAUCCGCGCCGCAUUAGCUAGUUGGUAAGGUAACGGCUUACCAAGGCAACGAUGCGUAGCCGACCUGAGAGGGUGAUCGGUCACACUGGAACUGAGACACGGUCCAGACUCCUACGGGAGGCAGCAGUAGGGAAUCUUACGCAAUGGGCGAAAGCCUGACGGAGCAACGCCGCGUGAGUGAUGAAGGUCUUCGGAUCGUAAAACUCUGUUAUUAGGGAAGAACAAAUGUGUAAGUAACUAUGCACGUCUUGACGGUACCUAAUCAGAAAGCCACGGCUAACUACGUG
rnacentral:rRNA from 1 species